rnacentral:lncRNA from 1 species
UAUUACUAUCCGGACACGCCAGUAAUCCCUUCCAGCUGCUCAACCUCAGAGUACCCGUUCAGCUCCUCACAACAGCAACCCCUGUAAAAACUCGAUCAAGCAAGCUGUCAAAACGAAAGAUAUCAAAGAAGUUACCUUGUAGAGAAAGCCAGUGAUGAUAAGUCCAAAGCUAAGUCACAAAUACAAAAGCAGAAAUAGAAAAAACAUCGACCAAUGAUUACGUACCAAAAACGUCUGAUUUAUAUAGGGUGUUUUAGAGCAUUUCUGACCAUUGCUCUUUCUCCGAGAAGAGGGAUGAGGAAAGAUACUUUGCUGUUCGCCGCAUUAGCCAUUAUCUCAGUGAGAUGCUCGCUUGCAGGUGAAGCGAUUAGUUUCGAUCUGCGACCAUCAUUCAAACAGAGUCAAGCUCUUCUUAUACAAGGACAAGCUAGAGCCACAAAUGAAAGUUUGGAGCUUACCGGAGCGUUCGAUUCCUCCAUCAUAAACGCUGGCCGGGUCUUCUAUGCUUUGCCUAUCAGGUUCGUCCACCAGUCUGGCAAAAACAUC